rnacentral:rRNA from 1 species
GAUGAACGCUAGCUACAGGCUUAACACAUGCAAGUCGAGGGGAAACGAUAUUGGAAGCUUGCUUCCGAUAGGCGUCGACCGGCGCACGGGUGAGUAACGCGUAUCCAACCUGCCCAUCACUUGGGAAUAACCUUGCGAAAGUAAGACUAAUGCCCAAUGACAUUUAUAGAAGGCAUCGGAAAUGAAUUAAAGAUUUAUCGGUGAUGGAUGGGGAUGCGUCUGAUUAGCUUGUUGGCGGGGUAACGGCCCACCAAGGCGACGAUCAGUAGGGGUUCUGAGAGGAAGAUCCCCCACAUUGGAACUGAGACACGGUCCAAACUCCUACGGGAGGCAGCAGUGAGGAAUAUUGGUCAAUGGGCGAGAGCCUGAACCAGCCAAGUAGCGUGCAGGAUGACGGCUCUAUGGGUUGUAAACUGCUUUUAUAAGGGAAUAAAGUGAGUCUCGUGAGACUUUUUGCAUGUACCUUAUGAAUAAGGACCGGCUAAUUCCGUGCCAGCA